UACGUAGGGAGCAAGCGUUGUUCGGAUUUACUGGGCGUAAAGGGCGCGUAGGCGGCAAAUUAAGUCAGCUGUGAAAUCUCCGAGCUUAACUCGGAACGGUCAGCUGAUACUGAUCUGCUAGAGUGCGGAAGGGGCAAUCGGAAUUCUUGGUGUAGCGGUGAAAUGCGUAGAUAUCAAGAGGAACACCUGAGGUGAAGACGGGUUGCUGGGCCGGCACUGACGCUGAGGCGCGAAAGCCAGGGGAGCAAACGGG
rnacentral:rRNA from 1 species